GGGGAUUUAGCUCAGUGGUAGAGCGCUUGCAUAGCAAACGCAAGGCCCUGGGUUCGGUUCCCAAGCUCCG
rfam:Rattus norvegicus chromosome 5, whole genome shotgun sequence.